AUUGAACGCUGGCGGCAGGCCUAACACACGCAAGUCGAGCGGAUGAGUGGAGCUUGCUCCAUGAUUCAGCGGCGGACGGGUGAGUAAUGCCUAGGAAUCUGCCUGGUAGUGGGGGACAACGUUUCGAAAGGAACGCUAAUACCGCAUACGUCCUACGGGAGAAAGUGGGGGAUCUUCGGACCUCACGCUAUCAGAUGAGCCUAGGUCGGAUUAGCUAGUUGGUGAGGUAAAGGCUCACCAAGGCGACGAUCCGUAACUGGUCUGAGAGGAUGAUAAGUCACACCGGAACGGAGACGCGGUCCAGACUGCUACGGGAGGCAGGAGUGGGGAAUAGUGGACAAUGGGCGAAAGCCUGGUUCAGCCAUGCCGGGUGUGUGAAGAAGGUCUUCGGAUUGUAAAGCACUUUAAGUUGGGAGGAAGGGCAGUAAGUUAAUACCUUGCUGUUUUGACGUUACCAACAGAAUAAGCACCGGCUAACUUCGUGCCAGCAGCCGCAGUAAAAC
rnacentral:rRNA from 1 species